GGAUUAGAUACCCUGGUAGUCCAUGCCGUAAACGGUGGGCGCUAGGUGUGAGGGUCUUUUCACGACUUUCGUGCCGUAGCUAACGCAUUAAGCGCCCCGCCUGGGGAGUACGGCCGCAAGGCUAAAACUCAAAGGAAUUGACGGGGGCCCGCACAAGCGGCGGAGCAUGUGGAUUAAUUCGAUGCAACGCGAAGAACCUUACCUGGGCUUGACAUACACCGGAUCGGGCUAGAGAUAGUCUUUCCCUUUGUGGCUGGUGUACAGGUGGUGCAUGGUUGUCGUCAGCUCGUGCCG
rnacentral:rRNA from 1 species